GGGUUGUGAGGUUAAGCGACUAAGCGUACACGGUGGAUGCCCUGGCAGUCAGAGGCGAUGAAGGACGUGCUAAUCUGCGAUAAGCGUCGGUAAGGUGAUAUGAACCGUUAUAACCGGCGAUUUCCGAAUGGGGAAACCCAGUGUGUUUCGACACACUAUCAUUAACUGAAUCCAUAGGUUAAUGAGGCGAACCGGGGGAACUGAAACAUCUAAGUACCCCGAGGAAAAGAAAUCAACCGAGAUUCCCCCAGUAGCGGCGAGCGAACGGGGAGCAGCCCAGAGCCUGAAUCAGUGUGUGUGUUAGUGGAAGCGUCUGGAAAGGCGCGCGAUACAGGGUGACAGCCCCGUACACAAAAAUGCACAUGCUGUGAGCUCGAUGAGUAGGGCGGGACACGUGGUAUCCUGUCUGAAUAUGGGGGGACCAUCCUCCAAGGCUAAAUACUCCUGACUGACCGAUAGUGAACCAGUACCGUGAGGGAAAGGCGAAAAGAACCCCGGCGAGGGGAGUGAAAAAGAACCUGAAACCGUGUACGUACAAGCAGUGGGAGCACGCUUAGGCGUGUGACUGCGUACCUUUUGUAUAAUGGGUCAGCGACUUAUAUUCUGUAGCAAGGUUAACCGAAUAGGGGAGCCGAAGGGAAACCGAGUCUUAACUGGGCGUUAAGUUGCAGGGUAUAGACCCGAAACCCGGUGAUCUAGCCAUGGGCAGGUUGAAGGUUGGGUAACACUAACUGGAGGACCGAACCGACUAAUGUUGAAAAAUUAGCGGAUGACUUGUGGCUGGGGGUGAAAGGCCAAUCAAACCGGGAGAUAGCUGGUUCUCCCCGAAAGCUAUUUAGGUAGCGCCUCGUGAAUUCAUCUCCGGGGGUAGAGCACUGUUUCGGCAAGGGGGUCAUCCCGACUUACCAACCCGAUGCAAACUGCGAAUACCGGAGAAUGUUAUCACGGGAGACACACGGCGGGUGCUAACGUCCGUCGUGAAGAGGGAAACAACCCAGACCGCCAGCUAAGGUCCCAAAGUCAUGGUUAAGUGGGAAACGAUGUGGGAAGGCCCAGACAGCCAGGAUGUUGGCUUAGAAGCAGCCAUCAUUUAAAGAAAGCGUAAUAGCUCACUGGUCGAGUCGGCCUGCGCGGAAGAUGUAACGGGGCUAAACCAUGCACCGAAGCUGCGGCAGCGACACUGUGUGUUGUUGGGUAGGGGAGCGUUCUGUAAGCCUGUGAAGGUGUACUGUGAGGUAUGCUGGAGGUAUCAGAAGUGCGAAUGCUGACAUAAGUAACGAUAAAGCGGGUGAAAAGCCCGCUCGCCGGAAGACCAAGGGUUCCUGUCCAACGUUAAUCGGGGCAGGGUGAGUCGACCCCUAAGGCGAGGCCGAAAGGCGUAGUCGAUGGGAAACAGGUUAAUAUUCCUGUACUUGGUGUUACUGCGAAGGGGGGACGGAGAAGGCUAUGUUGGCCGGGCGACGGUUGUCCCGGUUUAAGCGUGUAGGCUGGUUUUCCAGGCAAAUCCGGAAAAUCAAGGCUGAGGCGUGAUGACGAGGCACUACGGUGCUGAAGCAACAAAUGCCCUGCUUCCAGGAAAAGCCUCUAAGCAUCAGGUAACAUCAAAUCGUACCCCAAACCGACACAGGUGGUCAGGUAGAGAAUACCAAGGCGCUUGAGAGAACUCGGGUGAAGGAACUAGGCAAAAUGGUGCCGUAACUUCGGGAGAAGGCACGCUGAUAUGUAGGUGAAGUCCCUCGCGGAUGGAGCUGAAAUCAGUCGAAGAUACCAGCUGGCUGCAACUGUUUAUUAAAAACACAGCACUGUGCAAACACGAAAGUGGACGUAUACGGUGUGACGCCUGCCCGGUGCCGGAAGGUUAAUUGAUGGGGUUAGCGCAAGCGAAGCUCUUGAUCGAAGCCCCGGUAAACGGCGGCCGUAACUAUAACGGUCCUAAGGUAGCGAAAUUCCUUGUCGGGUAAGUUCCGACCUGCACGAAUGGCGUAAUGAUGGCCAGGCUGUCUCCACCCGAGACUCAGUGAAAUUGAACUCGCUGUGAAGAUGCAGUGUACCCGCGGCAAGACGGAAAGACCCCGUGAACCUUUACUAUAGCUUGACACUGAACAUUGAGCCUUGAUGUGUAGGAUAGGUGGGAGGCUUUGAAGUGUGGACGCCAGUCUGCAUGGAGCCGACCUUGAAAUACCACCCUUUAAUGUUUGAUGUUCUAACGUUGACCCGUAAUCCGGGUUGCGGACAGUGUCUGGUGGGUAGUUUGACUGGGGCGGUCUCCUCCUAAAGAGUAACGGAGGAGCACGAAGGUUGGCUAAUCCUGGUCGGACAUCAGGAGGUUAGUGCAAUGGCAUAAGCCAGCUUGACUGCGAGCGUGACGGCGCGAGCAGGUGCGAAAGCAGGUCAUAGUGAUCCGGUGGUUCUGAAUGGAAGGGCCAUCGCUCAACGGAUAAAAGGUACUCCGGGGAUAACAGGCUGAUACCGCCCAAGAGUUCAUAUCGACGGCGGUGUUUGGCACCUCGAUGUCGGCUCAUCACAUCCUGGGGCUGAAGUAGGUCCCAAGGGUAUGGCUGUUCGCCAUUUAAAGUGGUACGCGAGCUGGGUUUAGAACGUCGUGAGACAGUUCGGUCCCUAUCUGCCGUGGGCGCUGGAGAACUGAGGGGGGCUGCUCCUAGUACGAGAGGACCGGAGUGGACGCAUCACUGGUGUUCGGGUUGUCAUGCCAAUGGCACUGCCCGGUAGCUAAAUGCGGAAGAGAUAAGUGCUGAAAGCAUCUAAGCACGAAACUUGCCCCGAGAUGAGUUCUCCCUGACUCCUUGAGAGUCCUGAAGGAACGUUGAAGACGACGACGUUGAUAGGCCGGGUGUGUAAGCGCAGCGAUGCGUUGAGCUAACCGGUACUAAUGAACCGUGAGGCUUAACCUUACAACGCCGAAG
rnacentral:rRNA from 1 species